GUUCCAGACUCCUACGGGAGGCAGCAGUGGGGGAUAUUGCACAAUGGGGGGAACCCUGAUGCAGCGACGCCGCGUGGGUGAAGGAGCGUUUCGGCGCGUAAAGCCCUAUCGGCAGGGAAGAAGGAGGACGGUACCUGACUAAGAAGCCCCGGCUAACUACGUGCCAGCAGCCGCGGUAAUACGUAGGGGGCAAGCGUUAUCCGGAUUUACUGGGUGUAAAGGGAGCGUAGGCGGUUUAGCAAGUCAGAAGUGAAAGCCCGGGGCUCAACUCCGGGACUGCUUUUGAAACUGUUGAACUAGAUUGCAGGAGAGGUAAGUGGAAUUCCUAGUGUAGCGGUGAAAUGCGUAGAUAUUAGGAGGAACACCAGUGGCGAAGGCGGCUUACUGGACGGCAACUGACGCUGAGGCUCGAAAGCGUGGGGAGCAAACAGGAUUAGAUACCCGAGUAUUG
rnacentral:rRNA from 1 species